GACAGAGGGUGCAAACGUUUGUUCGGAAUUACUGGGCGUAAAGGGUUCGUAGGUGGCUUGCUUAGUCAGACGUGAAAUCCCUCAGCUUAACUGGGGAACUGCGUCUGAUACUGGCGAGCUUGAGUGCAGGAGAGGAACGCGGAAUUCCUGGUGUAGCGGUGAAAUGCGCAGAUAUCAGGAGGAACACCAGUGGCGAAGGCGCCGCUCUGGGCCGUGACUGACGCUGAGGAGCGAAAGCGUGGGUAGCAAACAGG
rnacentral:rRNA from 1 species